GGGCACAAAUGCAGUUGUUAGUGUAACUCGCAGCAGGUACAAUAAAGCCAACAGAUGAAGAGACAACUGCCAUUGAAAAGAUAAUUUGUUAUACUCUUAGAUCCCAAAAAAAGGAAGGUCAUACUAGGAAUCACCAAGCUUGGCCAUGAGGCAGAAGGAGAGCAACAGACUAUGGUCCAGAUCCUUUAUUGUGGUUUCUACAGGAAGGAACAGGCAAAGCAGGGAAGCACCAGUUAUCUAUAUUUAUAAAAUGAAUAAAUGGAUGCCCUACACAAUUCUUACUAAUACUCAUGGAGCAGGUAACCAUACAUUGAGAUCUCUGCUAAUGCUGCCACAGAAAACCAGACACCCUCAUGAUGGUCUCUGGUACCAGGCACAAAAGAAACAGCAAAAGCAAGCCACCAUAUUGCAUUAACUAUGCAAAUGUCAUGGGAGUGUGACUGAUUGGCAGAACCAAAAUUACAUUCAGAGCUAUAGCUGCAAGACUUCCUGGAAAAUAUAGAAUUCAAGCCGCUGCAAUAAAGAAAAACACACCAGAAAUAUGUUUAAAUGACUGUUGUUCUCCAACCAAUUAUGUCCACUUCCAAUUAAAAUAAAGGACUUUGCUUCUUUUUGUU